rnacentral:rRNA from 1 species
UGAGCAAUCUGCCCUUCUCAUCGGAAUAAGCGUUGGAAACGACGUCUAAUGCCGAAUACGACCUCCUUUCGCAUGAUCGGAGGUGGAAAGCUCCGGCGGAGAAGGAUGAGCUCGCGGCCUAUCAGCUAGUUGGUGUGGGUAAUGGCUCACCAAGGCGACGACGGGUAGCCGGCCUGAGAGGGUGACCGGCCACACUGGGACUGAGACACGGCCCAGACUCCUAGGGAGG